GAUGAACGCUGGCGGCGUGCCUAAUACAUGCAAGUCGAGCGAAUGGAUUAAGAGCUUGCUCUUAUGAAGUUAGCGGCGGACGGGUGAGUAACACGUGGGUAACCUGCCCAUAAGACUGGGAUAACUCCGGGAAACCGGGGCUAAUACCGGAUAAUAUUUUGAACUGCAUGGUUCAAAAUUGAAAGGCGGCUUCGGCUGUCACUUAUGGAUGGACCCGCGUCGCAUUAGCUAGUUGGUGAGGUAACGGCUCACCAAGGCAACGAUGCGUAGCCGGCCGGGGAGGGUGAUCGGCCACACUGGGACUGGGACACGGCCCAGCCUCCAACGGGAGGCAGCAGUAGGGAAUCUUCCGCAAUGGACGAAAGUCUGACGGGGCAACGCCGCGUGAGUGAUGAAGGCUUUCGGGUCGUAAAACUCUGUUGUUAGGGAAGAACAAGUGCUAGUUGAAUAAGCUGGCACCUUGACGGUACCUAACCAGAAAGCCACGGCUAACUACGUGCCAGCCGCCGCAGUAA
rnacentral:rRNA from 1 species